rnacentral:rRNA from 1 species
CCUACGGGAGGCAGCAGUGAGGAAUAUUGGUCAAUGGACGAGAGUCUGAACCAGCCAAGUAGCGUGAAGGAUGACUGCCCUAUGGGUUGUAAACUUCUUUUAUAUGGGAAUAAAAUGUUCCACGUGUGGGAUUUUGUAUGUACCAUAUGAAUAAGGAUCGGCUAACUCCGUGCCAGCAGCCGCGGUAAUACGGAGGAUCCGAGCGUUAUCCGGAUUUAUUGGGUUUAAAGGGAGCGUAGGUGGAUUGUUAAGUCAGUUGUGAAAGUUUGCGGCUCAACCGUAAAAUUGCAGUUGAUACUGGCAGUCUUGAGUACAGUAGAGGUGGGCGGAAUUCGUGGUGUAGCGGUGAAAUGCUUAGAUAUCACGAAGAACUCCGAUUGCGAAGGCAGUUCACUAGACUGCAACUGACACUGAUGCUCGAAAGUGUGGGUAUCAAACAGGAUUAGAUACCCCAGUAGUC